AUCCUUUUGUAGUUCAUAAGUGUAAUGAUUGGCUUUUUAUGCACAUGCGUGAGAUGUGCCUCCCUCAAACUUUGUUACAAUGUCCGCACAUUGCUUCUCCGACA